CUGCAGUGAGCCAACCAUGCACUAAUGGUCUGUGCAAAAACGAAGGUGCUAAGAUAGUUCCCUCACCCUGCCAUUAUGGAGCAACUGGUAGGCGAUCAUUACUGGGGUAGCCACCGGCCAGUUGCCGUACUCCAGAAAACAACUCCACACACGCACAUUCAUGCAAGCAAUCCCAAUUGAACUCCGUGGGUCACAAAAGAAAACGAAAGGCGUGAACGUGGGAGAAGGGAUAGAAGAAGAGGUUCAGAGGCAGCAGGAAGAAGCUGACGGAGGGAAAUGGAGGUGAAGAUAACCAAAAUACAUCAUGUGCGUUUAUUCAACUGACAAAGAAUACAAAACUGAAAAGAAGGUUCUGGUGGAUUAAAGUGUAUCACUGGCAGCGAGUGGAGAAAGUACGAUUUGGAUGCAGGAGAGGGGUACUGAUCUCUCCAAAGCAUGCAGAAGACAAAGGAGAGGAGCAUCUUCAGGGGCAGUUGCAGGAAAACUUGACAAAAUACCUGCCGGAAACAAAGAAACAAGAAUUUAUUUGAUACACAGUCUUGGAGGUUCAAUUCAUGGACUUUGGGCUCCAUGUGUUUGAGAAAAAAAUCCUGGUGGAAAAAAUGAGCCCAAGUCAGAGAGAGUUUCUACCUCAGAAUAGAAGAAAAGCAGAAGAGGUUGUAGACAGGAACCCACUGCAGUGAAUUGCUUCCUACAGUUAGGUCCCACAUCUUAGUUUCCAAAACCUCCAGUCAGCCAACAAUCACUUAACAUAUGAGCGUGUCCUAGACACGUCAUAUUCCAGACUUUCUAGCAUGACAAAUGGUGGUCUUCAAUAAAGACGAUGUUUCCCAGCA